GCGGCACAAGCACCCAAAAGUCACACCAAGGAGGACGCAGACGCCUGAGGCAAAAGGAGAACGCCGCCGCGACCGCGACCAUGAGGCAUCUAACUUCCAGCUAAUGAGGAGAUCAAUAGUACCCCUACGGGUACGACUUCGCCAAGUACAGGUACGUCAGCCUCGCCGCCGUAGCGGUCUAGGCUCGGGCACGGGCACGACCUACACAAAGAAGAAGUAACCGAUUUUCUUUUUUCCUCCAGACGGUUGUACUGCUACAAAGAGGCUCACUAUUUGCUAACUCUACAAGUCCCCACUUGGAAGGUCUCCUAUAGACCGUGGUGUAGGUAAGGGAUGACGGUGAUGCCCUACGACGGGCAUAACGGACGCACAGGGCGUGGAAAAAUGCUAGGACCUCUAUAAUAGGGUUGGAGUAGAAAUUAUCCGUAUAUGACCCGAGUUUAUCGCUACCUGCACCUUCCCUAAAGUAGUCUUGUUAGCUGGUGCAAGACUUUUUUGUGAGUCCACAAUUGCAUUUCUUUGAGUGUGACCUGUACAUAUUAAAAGGGCUUCAGUGGUUGCGGACAGCCGUCGCCGAUCUACCAACCGAAGUCUAAUGAUACUCUGGUCCCUAACUUCUUUAUUUGGAGGAAUCGGACCGAUUACUUCGUAUGUACAAAGGCACGACCGACAAUAGACUACUAUCCUAGUUCCUGAGUUAAGCCACAGAGUUAGAGUCGAGAAAACGAAAGGCGGGGUGUCAGUUCGAGUCAGGGAAAUUUACAGACCGGUACAAUGCAGAGUUAAUACACACAUAAUGACCCAUGCUCAAUCCCACGGAACAAAGGUUGUGAGAAUGGGACCUUGCCAACCUUGAAUUACCAACACCGCUGAACCUAACGGACUUCUAUGGAAGGGUCGAAGUCGCCGAAUCAACAGACUACCAAAGUCCAACGAAAUCCGACCUACACUAUCUAUAGUUUUGGGGCUUGGAAGCGCAAUAGUCCAACCUACAUCUUUUCCAAUUUUUUGAGAGUGAACCUCAUAGUAACCUUGACUUACUCGAUACGUAUGUGCCAGGUCUGAAACGCUCAAUACGGGCAAACUUCGAGGAGAGGUUACGCGGUUUACAGCUUUCAGAAAUGGACUUCAACUAACUACUCUCUCUGAAGUCAGAGCGAUCAUCAUGGCGAACCUGAAGCUGCAAAUCGAACAAUGGAGUCGAUGCUAGAACACGGGAGCCGUCCUAGACCAUC
rnacentral:rRNA from 1 species